rnacentral:rRNA from 1 species
AGCGUAGGCGGAUAGUUUAGUCAGAGGUGAAAGCCCAGGGCUCAACCUUGGAAUUGCCUUUGAUACUGGCUAUCUUGAGUACGGAAGAGGUAUGUGGAACUCCGAGUGUAGAGGUGAAAUUCGUAGAUAUUCGGAAGAACACCAGUGGCGAAGGCGACAUACUGGUCCGUUACUGACGCUGAGGCUCGAAAGCGUGGGGAGCAAACAGGAUUAGAUACCCUGGUAGUCCACGCUGUAAACGAUGAGUGCUAGUUGUCGGCAUGCAUGCAUGUCGGUGACGCAGCUAACGCAUUAAGCACUCCGCCUGGGGAGUACGGUCGCAAGAUUAAA